GUGCCAGCAGCCGCGGUAAUACGGGGGGGGCAAGCGUUGUUCGGAAUUACUGGGCGUAAAGGGCGCGUAGGCGGCUUUUCAAGUCGGGCGUGAAAUCUCCGGGCUUAACCCGGAAGGGUCGUUCGAUACUGUUGAGCUAGAGUGUGGAAGAGGCAACUAGAAUUCCGUGUGUAGCGGUGAAAUGCGUAGAUAUACGGAGGAAUACCUGAGGCGAAGGCGGGUUGCUGGGCCAACACUGACGCUGAUGCGCGAAAGCCAGGGGAGCAAACGGGAUUAGAAACCCGAGUAGUCC
rnacentral:rRNA from 1 species